rnacentral:misc_RNA from 1 species
UUAUGAACUUAGUUAAUAUAUACAAAGGGCAAACAAACACAUAUUGGGGCAGAUACACUACUCACUGAUAGACAAUGCCAGUGGUUGGUACAAUAGCUGCACUAAACCCAUCUCAAGUAAUUCCUCUACAAGUAUAUUGAAUAAUUUAGUAUUUCCAAUAAAACAAUUAAGCUAACAUUUAAACUUCAAAAACACGCCAGAAAUUAGUGUAAACUACGAUCCUUAAUAAGCUCAAAAACAAGGCCAAGCAAAAUGACAUCCUACCUAACAAAAUUGAAAUAUAUUCUU